rnacentral:rRNA from 1 species
UACGGGGGGGGCAAGCGUUGUUCGGAAUUACUGGGCGUAAAGGGUUCGUAGGUGGCCGGCUAAGUCAGACGUGAAAUCCCUCAGCUUAACUGGGGAACUGCGUCUGAGACUGGUGGGCUUGAGUGCAGGAGAGGAACGCGGAAUUCCAGGUGUAGCGGUGAAAUGCGUAGAUAUCAGGAAGAACACCCGUGGCGAAGGCGGCUUCCUGGACGACCACUGACGCUGAGACGCGAAAGCGUGGGGAGCAAACAGG